CAUACAUCAGUCAGGGGACUUACUUAAACAAGUGAUUUUCUAAAUCACUGAUUCAAGUAACAUUAUUUCCAUAAAGGUUGGAAGUUAGAGUUGUCUUUCUUUAAUAAUCACCUAUUUAAGUAGUACAAAUUAAUCACUAGAAGAAGUGAUUUCAUAUUAGUGUAGCUUUAAAUAUAGAAUACUAAUGAUCCAGCGACUAAUUAUGUUUCUUAACUUAUCAGAACCAACAUCUGUGUUGUCUAGGAUGACCAGGUCAUUUCAGGUGAUGACCUUGUACUGAAUCUCGGAUAAUGACAUAAAAAUCACUUGUUUAAGUAUCAGACCUCAAUUUCCUUCCCAAAAAUCACUUCUUUAAGUAUCAUUCUUUUAAUAACCCCCACUAAUUUCAACACCCCCGAACAGUGAAAUUUUUAUCGCGAACAGUAGAAUUUUAUUACAUAAUCUGAAAGAUGAAACCUUGAACUUCACAGGAAAAAUACUCCCACUGCUGUGAAAAAUCUUUUAAGAAAGUAUCAGUUCAUUAUGUAAAGCGAUUAUUAUAGCAUUUUUUGAACUAAAAUAGAAUUUUCAGGUAAAUGAUAGCAUCAAAGGCA
rnacentral:lncRNA from 1 species